rnacentral:lncRNA from 10 species
CUGGUCUCAAACUCCCAACCUCAGGGGAUUCACCCGCCUCAGCCUCCCAAAGUGCUGGGAUUACAGGUGUGAGCCACUGCACCCGGCCCCCUUAUUCCCUUCUUAACAAUGCAUCACGUACUUACUCUGGUUUUGGUUUAAGGUCAUCCCCCUUUGCUGAAAGUGUCAGCUCAGCAGGGAUCUUUUGAUUUGCUCACAGCCAUCCCCUCAUUGCCUAGAACAGUGCCUGCACACAGUAGGUGCUCAAUAAAUACUCAUUGAACAAAUUGAAUGAAUGAAUCUCUUCAAAAGUAUUGACUAAAGAGGUAAAGGGCCCUUCUUGAUAGAGUAAAACUGCAAAGAGGACCCUUCCUUGAUAUCAGUGUGCAAAAUCUCACAUCAAGGGACCUCCCCUCCACAAAAAAAGAAUAAUAAAGAGUCCUUCUUUUCCAGGUUGAGAAAGGAGGGGAUGUCUCCUCUCCUGGGAAGAGUGACGACAUCUCUAGAAGCCAGGCAUGAAAGAAGAGAAUGAAAACUCCAUCCGGUGUGGAUUGAGGCAGAGACCCUACUCACUUCCUGUGGUUCCUCAAAAAAUUAAAAAUAGAACUAUGAGCCGGGCACGGUGGCUUACACCUGUAAUCCCAGCACUUUGGGAGGCCGAGGCGGGCGGAUCACUUGAGGUCAGGAGAUUGAGACCAGCCUGGCCAACAUGGUGAAACUCCCCGUCUCUACUAAAAGUAGAAAAAUUAGCCAGGCAUGGUGGCAGGUGCCUGUAAUCCCCGCUACUCAGGAGGCUGAGGCAGGAGAAUCACUUGAACCCGGGAGGUGGAGGUUGCAGUGAGCUGAGAUCACUCCACUGCACUGCAGUCUGGGCAACAGAGGAAGACUCCGUCACAAAAAACAAAAAAAGAAACAAAAAAAAAAAACCUGUGAGCUGAGCAUGGUGAUUGAUGCCUGUAGUCCCAGUGACUUGACAGGCUGAGGCAGGAGGAUGGCUUGAGCCCAGGAAUUGGAGGCUGCAGUGAGCUAUGAUUGUGCCACUGCACUCCAGCCUGGGUGACAGAGCAAGAUCUUGUCUCUAAAAUAAAUAAAUAAAUAAAAGUAGAACUACCAUAUGAUCCAGCAAUCCCACUUCUUGGAACAUAUACUGUGAAAGGAAAAUAAAUCUCGAGACCCCAAAAUCACAAAGCCAAAGGGAAAAGUCAGGUUGAGAACUACAUCAGGCAAACCAGCCUCCCAUUUCAUUCCCAAAUAAGAUAGCUACCAAAUUGUUUGUUUGUUUGUUUGUUUGUUUGUUUUAGACGGGGUCUCCCUCUGUCGCCCAGGCUGGAGUGCAGUGGCUCAGUCUCGGCUCACUGCAACCUCCACCUCCCAGGUUCAAGUGAUUCUCCUGCCUCAGCCUCCUGAGUAGCUGGGAUUACAGGCGCGCACCACCACGCCUGGCUAAUUUUUUUUGUUUUUAGUAGAGAUGGGGUUUCAGCAUGCUGGUCAGGCUGGUCUCGAACUCCUGACCUCGUGAUCUGCCUGCCUUGGCCUCCCAAAGUGCUGGGAUUACAGGCGUGAGCCACCGCACCCGGCCAAUAGCUACCAAGAUUUAAAAAGCAACAUACCUCCCUCAAAAUUUGCCCACAAGGAAAUUCUUUGUGGGACUCAAGAUAUUUACCCUAAAACAGUUCUGUUGAAUUUCACCUUGGCAAUGUAAAUGGACAGCUUAUCUUUACAGAUGCGGGACAGAAAGUCAUCCCUCCGCUCGCCUGAGAGAAAUGCAUAUCUGAUUGCUUCCUCUGCCCUAUUGUUCAUGUAAAAAUGCAGAUUUAUGGACCCAGACUAAGGUUUAAGUGACUAUUCCUCUACCUCCCUCUCACGUGUAAACUGUGUAUUCAGUGAAAGGCUAAUCAAAGACUCAAAAGUAGCCGGGUGCAGUGGCUCACGCCUGUAAUCCCAGCACUUUGGGAGGCUGAGGUGCGCGGAUCACAAGAUCAGGAGAUCGAGACCAUCCUGGCUAACACGGUGAAACCCCGUCUCUAGUAAAAAUACAAAAAAUUAGCCAGGCGUGGUGGCGGGUGCCUGUAGUCCCAGCUACUCAGGAGGCUGAGGCAGGAGAAUGGCAUGAGCCCUGGAGGCGGAGCUUGCAGUGAGCCGAGAUCGCACCACUGCACUCCAACCUGGGCGACAGAGCGAGACUUAAUCUCAAAAAAAAAAAAAAAAAAAAAAAAAAAGACUGAAAAGUAUGCAACCAUUUGUCUCUUACCUACCUAUAACCUGGAAACCGGCCCCCUCCCCACCCCCCCGCCCACGCCGCUGCCACUUCAAGUUGCCCUGCCUUUCCAGACCAAGCCAUUGUAUCUUACACAUCUUGAUUGAUGUCUCAUGUCUCCCUAAAGUGUAUAAAAACAAGCUGCACCCUGACCACCUUCGGCAAAUGUCAUCAGGACCUCCUAAGGCUGUCACAGGCGUGUUCUCAACCUUGGCAAAAUAAACUUUCUAAAUGGAUGGAGACCUAUCUCAAAUACUUUGAGUUCACAAUCCAAACAAAAUCAAAUCAGUAUCUCCAAGAGACAUCUGCACCCCCCACGUUCAUUGUAGCAUUAUUCAGAGUAGCCAAGAUAUGGAAACAAUUUAAGUGUCCACCAAUGGAUGAACAGACAAAAAAAUUGUGGUUUAUCUACAGUGGAAUAUUAUUCGGUCUUUAAAAAGAAAGACAUUCUGCCAUAUAUGACAUCAUGGAUGAAUUGGAGGACAUUAUGCGAAGUGAAAUAAGCCAGUCACAAAAAGACAAUUACUGCAUGAUCUCACUCACGUGUGGAAUCUAAAAAAGUCAACCUCGUGGACAGGUGCGGUGCCUCAUGCCUGUAAUCCCAGCACUCUGGGAGGCUGAGGCAGGCAGAUCACCUGAGGUCAGGAGUUCGAGACCAGCCUGACCAACACAGUGAAACCCUAUCUCUACUAAAAAUACAAAAUUAGCCAGGCAUGGUGGUGCACGCCUGUAACCCCAGCUACUUGGAAGGCUGAGGCAGGGAAAUCGCUUGAACCCGGGAGGCGGAGGUUGCAGUUAGCCAAGAUCAUGCCAUUGCACUCCAGCCUGGGCAACAAGAGUGAAAAUCCAUCUCAAAAAAAAAAAAAAAGGAAAGAAAGAAAAAAUGCUAAAAGAGUUGGUCUUAAAUGUUCUCACAAUCUCACUAUUGCCCCUGCGCCGGCACUAACUGAGACUCAAACUCCUCGUUGUCGUAUUUGUCGGAAUAGUAAAUUUGUUUGUGGGACAUGACCGCUCCAUCUGCGAGCCUUCAGCCCCAAGCUGCCAACCUCCAAGCAACUCCCAGCAGCAGGUACUGGAACAGGCUGAAGAGAGGAAGUGUCAGGAAGGAAAUCCGUAUAGGAGAGCAUCUGGGAUGGAAGAGUGACCCUCAUGUCCUGGUCUACCCAGGGCUUUCUUAGUUUUACUAAAGUCCCUCAUCGAAGGAACUGCCUCAGGCUCAAGCAAACUGGGAUAUCCUACUGGUCAUCCUACUGCGAUCUGUGUCCUCCUGACCUGGCAUUUGUCCCUGCGGCUCUGGGACUGUGAUCAGUUUAGGUCCCUGGGCACAGCUCUGAGCUGCAGGAGUGAGGAGCUUUUGGGAGCACCUCCAAGGUGGAGAAGAAGAGGCUGGUACCUGGAUUAGAAGUCGGGCCUGGAUAAUGGCAGGAAGAUCAAGAGAAUGGGUUCAGUUCUACCCUGGCUACCUGGGGGUCUUCUCUUUGAGCUUUUUUUUUUUUUUUUUUUUUCCUGAGACAAGGUCUCACUCUGUUGCCCAGGCUGGAGUGCAGUGGUGCGAUCUCAGCUCACAGCAGCCUCUGCCUCCAGGGUUCAAGCGAUUCUCGUGCCUCAGCCUCCCGAGUAGCUGAGGCUACAGGCGUGUGUCACCAUGCCUGACUAAUUUUUGUAUUUUUUGGUAGAGACAGGGUUUCACCCUGUAGGCCAGGCUGGUCUCGAACUCCUGACCUCAGGUGAUCCACCUACCUCGGCCUCCCAAAGUGCUGGGAUUACAGGCGUGAGCCACCGCACCCAGCCCUUCCUCUUUGAGCUUCUGUUCUCUCAUCUAUAAAACGGGGAUGGUCAUCUGGACCACUGAAUCUACAAUCAGCAUGAGUGCAUGCUUGGAUAAUCUGCUAUGUCUGGCCUUCUGGCCCUUGAGGCUCCAGAGAGGUAGGAAGAGUCUCCUUCACUUGCUCAAUCCACCCUGGGAGAACCAAGUGACCAGACGAAUCCACUGAGCAUAAAGAAUGCCCAGGCCGGCCGGGCACCAUGGCUCAGGCCUGUACUCCCAGCAUUUUGGGAGGCUGAGGCAGGCCGAUCACUUGAGGCCAGGAGUUCAAGACCAGCCUGGCCAACAUGUUGAAACCCCAUCUUUACUAAAAACACAAAAAUUACCUGGGUGUGGUGGCACACGCCUGUAAUCCCAGCUACUAGGGAGGCUGAGGCAGCAGAAUCACUUGAACCCGGGAGGCGGAGGCUGCAGUGAGCCGAGAUCACGCCACUACACUUCAGCCUGGGCGACAGAGUAAGACACCGUCUCACAACACACACACACAUACACACACACACACACACAGAGAGAGAGAGAGAGAGAGAGAGAGAGAGAGAGAGAGAGAGAGAGAGAGAGAGUACACCCAGCCAGGCCUGCCCCUCUUGGACCCAUUGUCUUCCUUUGCUACCCAGCAACUGGGAAGAAAGGUAACUCUCUCUCCAGGAUUGGAGGAAACAGUAAGCAAACCUUUCUGCUUUUUGGUGAACCAAAAGUGGUGAAAGAUAAACUGUAACUCUGGCAAGGGCAGGUUAGACCAGGAACCCACCUCACAGUUCCACCCAUGCCCACUACACACACCCACUCCCACCAAUGCCCCCUUCCCUUCAUAAUCCAACUCCCUUAACUUCAUAUCCCCCUGGCCAGGCCUGGGCUGGGACAAUGACCACUGUUCAGGGACCCAGGAAGGGGCUCAGCAGCGCACAAUGAGAUCUGCCUAUGUUCUGUGUCUUCACAGCCCUUCUCCUGGGACGGGCAGUACAGAACUCAUUUCCUCGGCGGUGUGGGGGGACUCACGUACCCAGAAACUGCCAGGAGAGGAGAAAUCCUCAACCUUCAGUCUCUUCCCAGGCAAAGGAUAAAAACCAGCAUUUAGGAAUCAUCCAGAAACUGGAGUUGGAAUCCUGGCCGUGUGACUUUAAACAAAAGGCUUAAGCUCUCUGAGCCUGUUUUCUCUUCUGCAAAAUGGGGGAUAACGGUGCCCCUGUGUUCACCCGUCAGGCAGGUUCAACGGAGACAACACAUGUAAAGUGCAGGAACAUAUUACAUAGAAGGUGGAUCCUAUAAAAUGAUGGUGGGCCGGGCGCAGUGCCUCACGCCUGUAAUCCCAGUACUUUGAGAGGCUGAGGCGGGUGGAUCACCUGAGGUCAGGAGUUCAAAACCAGCCUGACCAACAUGGUGAAACCCCCAUCUCUACUAAAAAUAGAAAAAAAAAAUUAGCUGGGCAUGGUGGCAGGCACCUGUAAUCUCUGCAACUCAGGAGGCUGAGACAGGAGAAUUGCUUGAACUGGGGAGGCAGAGGUUGCAGUGAGCCAAGAUUGCGCCACUGUACUCCAGACUGGGCGACAGAGUGGGACUCUGUCUCAAAUAAAUAAAUAAAAUAAAAUGAUGGUCACAGAGGUCCUUUGGGCUCUUGGAGUUUCUCAGCCACAGGGUGGAGGGAGAGGCAACUGGGAGAUGGAUUUCUCCAGCUCUGGAAUUCUUCUAAAAAUUGCUCUUUGGGGAGAUGGAAAUUCAGAGAGGUUAGAUGUCUGG